rnacentral:lncRNA from 1 species
GUCAUUUUUGUUUGAAAAACUUGUUGCUGGGCUAGUUGGUACAUAACUUUGAGGAAAAAAUUUAGACGCCUAA